rnacentral:lncRNA from 1 species
GGGGGGAGGGGCUCUGAUCCACAUAGUUUCUUCAAAGAUCCAGGUUGUUGGAGAUGGUUCCACCAUCUCGUAGCUGCACCAUCUGGAGCAGGUAGUGAAUGUCCUUGGUUGCUGAGGCAGGGGCAGAGGCAUCUGGGGUGCAAAACAUUGGCUGUUUUACACAGAAGCUGUUCUUUACACAGGUGAGUGUAAAACACAUACAUCACUUCUGCUCAGUGUUUGUCAAAACUAGUCUCGUGGCCCUGUUUCAGAAGUUAAUGUGUGAUUUACAUGAACUACAGAUGCAAAAACACUUGGAAGAACUAUAAAGGAGCAGAGCUCAAACACAGCUCAUAACUGAAAAAUACAGGUUUCUAAGCCCCACUCUACAACCCUGGAAUCAGGAUCUCUGGGAUAUAGUUGGGGAAUUUGCAUUUUUAAAAAUGUUCCACAGCUGAUUCUCAUUAUCAACAGGAAGCUACUGCUGUGAACAAGGAGUGUUUUUAAAGUAGAGGAAAGGCAACAAUUAGAUCUGUGGAUUUAAGAUUACACUGGCUGCAGUGCUGCAGGUGGAUUAAAGAGGGGAGAAACUAAAUGCUGGGGUAUUUCAUGUCACACAACAUAUAGGGUUUACUGAGCAAACAGAAAUGCAUGUGCUUAUAUAUCAUGCAGUGUGUUAGCAGGACCAGCUCAAUCUGAGAGCCCAACAGUGUUGUUGUAAAUUUCUCUGUAUAUUUUAAGAAUCUCCUCCCCACUCCUUCCUUCCUUGACUCCCAGGAUACCAGUAGGUUAGGCACAAAGUGGUUGCCAACCAGUCCUUGUUCACUUCAUUCAAUAAAUGUUUUGCAUGCCACUGCUGCUGUUGGUGUUGGCUGGUAGAGCCAGUUCAGCACUCACAGGAGUCCCUGGAUAAGGAGUGGGGAGUGAGGUAGGUGGGUGCGGCCUGUUUCUCUCUUGAGAGGUAGCUGGAAGUGGUCAUUCCUUCAUGCCUGUUAGUGCAGCAAAGAAUCUGGUUAUAUUGCUGUGUCUACUGCCUCCUGUGAAGACUGAGAGUUGAGUAGAUCUGCAGUGGGAGAAAAUGACCAUUGUGGGAUGUGGGACGCCGCCUCAACGUGGCCUGACGAGCGAUGCCAUGUCCCCACCCAGGAUCCGAACCCUGGGCCGCCUCAGCGGAGCACGUGAACUUAACCACUCGGUCAUGAAGCCAGCCCCUCUUCCUUUCAAAUAUUAUGCUCAGCACUUACCAGUUUGCUGCUCAUGUACCAUGGCUAAAAUAAAUGGAAUAUUGAUAGAAUUUGGCAUUACUGCCCAGCACUUUCUUUAGGAGAGAUAGAUGGACUGGUAGGCAGGUUCUCUUUUCAUUGCCAUGCUUCAUUUGUCUUCUAU